rnacentral:rRNA from 1 species
CAGCAGCCGCGGUAAUACGUAGGUGGCAAGCGUUGUCCGGAAUUAUUGGGCGUAAAGCGCGCGCAGGCGGUUUCUUAAGUCUGAUGUGAAAGCCCACGGCUCAACCGUGGAGGGUCAUUGGAAACUGGGAGACUUGAGUGCAGAAGAGGAGAGUGGAAUUCCACGUGUAGCGGUGAAAUGCGUAGAGAUGUGGAGGAACACCAGUGGCGAAGGCGGCUCACUGGACCAUUACUGACGCUGAGGUGCGAAAGCGUGGGGAGCAAACAGGAUUAGAUACCCCCGUAGUCCCUGUCUCUUAUAC